rnacentral:lncRNA from 1 species
AAAAGCAAGAGAAAAGAAAAACAAAAAAAAGAAAAAGAAAAAGAAAAAGAAAAUUUUUUGUUCAUCCCCCCCUUCUCCUGCCGUGCAUCAGCAACAAAGGGAGGGGGCGUGCUCACAGCACACCCCCCAAUCCGUACACAAAAGAACAAAGAAAGAAAGUCGUCUCUUUCAUUUUGCGGCGGCGCGACGAUGACGACGACGACGACGACGACGACUUCGACAACGGCGGCUGUGACGACUUCGACGACGACAACGGUGUGCGAGGAGGCCUCAUGACCUCCUCUUUCUUCUUCUUCUCCGACGACGGCCGAUUGGUGUAUACGUGCAAACGUAUAGUCACGAUUUAUUUGUUGGUUUGAUCAACACGACCGUCUUCAUGAUAGCUUGACCCGAUCAAAUCCGGCAUUGGAUCGUUACUAUAUCGUACGCACGUAUUCACUAAACGUCCGUCUCCUCAACAUCGACGAAAGAUUUACACGAGCGUGCGAAUGACGCGACGACGAACCUCCAACCGAUUUGAUUGUGCGGCCGUCUUCGUGAUAGGCUCGACACUCUCAAAUCUAAAAAAAAAUGAUAAUAAAAUAAAAUAAGAUAAUAAAAUAAAUAUUUGGAUCGCCGUCUUCGUGAUAGGCUAGAUCCAAUUUGACAUAAACCGGGUCGCCGUCUUCGUGAUAGGCUUGACCCGAGUCCGAUUAAUUGAGCCGGGUCGCCGUCUUCGUGAUAGGCUUGACCUGAGUCCGGUUAAUUAAACCGGGUCACCGUCUUCGUGAUAGGCUUGACCUGAGUUCGGUUCAAAUAAACCGGAUCGCCGUCUUCGUGAUAGGCUUGACCCGAGUUCGGUUAAUUAAACCGGGUCGCCGUCUUAGUGAUUGGCUUGACCCGAGUUCGGCUAAUUAAACCGGGUCGCCGUCUUCGUGAUAGGCUUGACCCGAGUUCGGCUCAAUUAGACCGUGUUGUCGUCUUCGUGAUAGGCUUGACCCGAGCGAGCCAAGCCAUAAUGAUAAAUCAAAUCGGACGAUAAGCCGAUCCAAUCUAACCGGUCUAAUUUUAAUUGAGUCUCAUACCAAUCAAAAAUUGAACCAUUAAAGAUAUUAACCAAACCAAACCAAAUUACAAGUCGGUUCAGCUUAAACCGAACCAUAAGGGAUUCGACUUGAACUAAAGUGAGUCCGAUCUGAACUGAACCGAACCGGAUCUGAUCUGAAUCGAACCACAAAGGAUUCAACUUGAACCAAAGUGAAUCCGAUCUGAACCGAACCGAAUAGGAUUUGACUUGAACCACUCGGACCGAAUCCGGUCCAAUCCGAUCAGAACUAUAAAGGAUCCGACUCGAACCGAAAUGAGUCCAAUCCGAACCGAACAGGAUUCGACUUGAAUCAAAGUGAACCCGAUCUGAACUAAACCGAACCGGAUCAGAACCAAACCAAAUCUGGUCCGAACUGAACAAGAUUCAACUUAAACCAAAGUAAACCCCGAUCUGAACUAAACCGAACCAAUCUGAACCAAACCAGAUCCGGUCCGAAUCGAAUGAGAUUCAACUUGAAUCAAACCAAACUGAACUAAACCGGAUCCGAACCGAGCCAGAUCUGGUCCGAACUGAACCAUAAAGGAUUCAACUUAAACCAAAGUGAAUUUGAUCUGAAUUGAACCAAACCGGAUCCUAUCUGAACCGAACCACAAAGGGUCCUACUCGGACCAAAGUGGCUCUAAUCCGAACCAAACUAUGAAAGAUUCGAAUCGAAUUGAAGUAGGUCCGAUCCAAACCAAAUCAUGAAGGAUUCGACUCGAAUUGAAAUGGGUCCGAUCCGAACCAAAUCAUAAAGGGUCCAACCUGAACCGAAGUGGUCCGAUCCGAACCAAAUCAUGAAGGAUUCGACUCCAAUUGAAGUGGGUCCGAUCCGAACCAAACCAUGAAGGAUCCGACCCGAACCGAAGUGGUCCGAUCCGAACCAAACCAUGAAGGAUUCGACUCGAAUUGAAGUGGGUCCGAUCCAAACCAAGUCAUGAAGGAUCCGACCCGAACCGAAGUGGUCCGAUCCGAACCAAACCAUGAAAGAUUCGACUCGAAUUGAAGUCGGUCCGAUCCAAACCAAGCCGUAGAGGAUCCGACUAGAACCGAAGUGGGUCUGAUCUGAACCCAACUGUAAAGAAUCCAACUCGAACCGAGGAGGGUCCGAUCUGAACUGAACUGAACCGAACUGGAUCCGAACCGAACCAAAUCCUGUCUGAACCGAACCGAACAAGAUUCAACUUAAACCAAAGCGAAUCCGAUCAGAACUGAACCGAACCGGAUCCGAACCAAACCAGAUCCUAUCUAAACCGAGCCGAAUGGGAUUCAACUUGAACUAAAGUGAAUCCGAUCCAAAAUGAUCCGAACAGGAUCCGAACCGAACCGGAUCCUGUCUAAACCGAACCGAACAGGAUUCAACUUGAACUAAAGUGGAUCCGAUCCAUACUGAACCGAACCGGAUCCUGUCUGAACCAAGCCGUAGAGGAUCCGACUCGAACCAAAGUGGGUCCGAUUCGAACUCAACCGUAAAGAAUCCAACUCAAACCAAGUCUUGAUGGUUCCCGAGCCAAAGCAUAACGGUUCAACCCAAACCAAGUCUUGAUGGGUCUCGAAUCAAAGCAUAGCGGUUCAACCCAAACCAAAUCCAAAGCGACCAAAUGAACUUAAGGCCGCCCAACUCAAACCAAGUCUUGAUGGGUACCGAACCAAAGCAUAACGGGUCAACCCAAACCAAGUCUUGAUGGGUCUCGAACCAAAGUAUAACGGUUCAGCCCAAACCAAAUCCAAAGCGACCAAAUGAACUUAAGGUCGCCCAACUCAAACCAAGUCUUGAUGGGUCCCGAACCAAAGCAUAACGGUUCAACCCAAACCAAGUCUUCAUAGGUCUCGAACCAAAGUAUAACAGUUCAACCCAAACCAAAUCCAAAGCGACCAAAGAAACUUAAGGUCGCCCAACUCAAACCAAGUCUUGAUGGGUCCCGAACCAAAACAUAACGGUUCAUCCCAUAUCAAAUACAAGAGGUUUAAGCCAACCAAAACCCAAAGUCCACAAAUAAAUCCCAAAACCAAAGUCCACAAAUAAAUCCCAAAACCAAAGUCCACAAAUAAAUUCCAAAACCAAAAUCCACAAAUAAAUCCCAAAAUCCAAAGUCCACAAAUAAAUCCCAAGACCUAAAGUCCACAAAUAAAACCCCAAAAUCCAAAGCAUCUCAAAUCUAAACGACAGAAACGUCGUUAAACUAAACCCAAAUUCAAACGAUCGAAAAGUCGUUAAACUAAACCCAAAUCCAAACGACCGAAACGUCGUUAAACUAAACCCAAAUUCAAACGACCGAAAAGUCGUUAAACUAAGCCCAAAUUCAAACGACCGAAAAGUCGUUAAACUAAACCAAAAUCAAACGACCGAAAAGUCAUUAAACUAAACCCAAAAUCAAACGACCGUAAAGUCGUUAAACUAAACCCAAAUACAAACGACCGUACAGUCGUUAAACUAAACCCAAAAUCAAACGACCGUAAAGUCGUUAAACUAAACCCAAGUUCAUCAUGAACAUUUUUUACUCUAGCACAUAUGCCUAGAGUGAAAAUUAAAUAUUUACUACCCCUAAUACAUAUACUUAGGGCUAAGUCGAUCGCCUUAGCACAUAUAACUAAGGCAAAACAUCUCCAAAUCGACAGAGUUCUAAGCCAUAUAUUUAGAAUUCAGUCAAAUGAUAUCAAGUUUAUUCGAACUCUAACACAUAUACUUAGAAUUCAUCCGACUAACCCUAACACAUAUCCUUAGGGUCCAGUCAGCCUUUUGCUCUAGCACAUAUAGCUAGAGUGGAAGUCAAAUCAUGCUCGACUAGUCCUAACACAUAUCCUUAGGAUCUUGUUAGCUUUUUGCUCUAGCACAUAUACCUAGAGUGGAAGUCAAACCAUACUUGACUAGUCCUAACCUAUAUAUUUUGGGUCUAGUCAGUCUUUUGCUCUAGCACAUAUACCUAGAGUGGAAGUCAAAUCAUGCUCGACUAGUCCUAACCCAUAUACUUAGGGUCUAGUCAGCCUUUUGCUCUAGCACAUAUACCUAGAAUGAAAGUCAAUCUGUGCUCGACUAGUCCUAACCCAUAUACUUAGGGUCUAGUCAGCCUUUUGCUCUAGCACAUAUACCUAGAGUGAAAUCCAUACCAGAUCGAGCUCUAAUACAUAUACUUGGAGCUCAUACGAAUCAAUUCCGACAAACCCUAACGCAAUACCUUAGGGCUUAGUCAGAUCUUCACUCUAGCACAUAUAACUAGAGUGAAAACAUAUUAAACUCGGUUAAUCCUGAUCCAUACACUCAGGAAUUAGCCACUUUCUACUUUCUGGUAAUAUCAAAUCUGAUCUACCUCAAUAUAUAUACUUGGAGUUUGGUCACAUCUCCACCUUGGAAUAUACAACAAAGGUGAACCCGACCGCCAUGUCAUUAAACUGAGCUGCAAACUUAAACCGACCGCAAUGUAUUAUAAAAUUCAUGUACAGUGGAGGUAUGCCCCUGCUUAAGCCAUGUACACGGUAAAUCAUAUUAAUAAAAUUUUAUUUUCCUGUUUUGUCUCCUUUAUUAUCAGCAUUUAUAAUUGGUCUCUUAAUCGAGGGUUCCUUAACACCGAAAGUGUGGGGUAAUUAACAGCAGAUUCUUGAGUCUGUUGGAAGUCAUGAACCUAUAAUCCUGAUUUCAAAAUAAAACUUAAGUAAACUCAACCUCUACCAUGAAUGACCACUCGCCUUAGAAACAACCUACGGCUGGGCCGAUUCGUUCGCGGUAGACAAAAUGGCACGCCCGGUGGGACAUGGCUUCACCCUCCAUUUUUUAGACCAAAUCCAAUAAUGCUGAUAAGAGACUUAUGUAUAAACAUUUGACCGAUAAAUAUGGCUUUAUCCAAGCGGAGCAAUCCAAUCGAACAACAUCGCCUUGAUCGAGACGAAAGAAGCAUGUCGGUUAUCCUCCAAUAUGGCAUCACCACAAAGGGUGUUUUGUCUACCAUCAUGUCUUGCUCUGCCGGUCAAAUCAUCAGGGGGCAGGACGAUUCUUGCUGACAAUCGUCGUCUUCUCCCUCCGAACAUCAUAUCUUGGCUAUUCGUUGCCAAGAGGAGCAAUGGCUUCAAUCAAUACCACAUUCUCUACCUCAGUGGAGAUCAAAGCGAGAAAUUUUGAUUUUCCUCCAAUAUGGCAUUACCACAGAGGACGUUCUGGCUACCACCAUAUCCUGAUCUGCCGCUUAAGUCAUCAGGGGGCAAGAUUAUUCUGACAGACAAUAGUGGUCUUCUCCCUCUCAAUAUCAUAUCUUGGCUAUUCGUUGCCAAGAGGAGCAAUGGCUUCAAUCAAUACCACAUUCUCUCUCUCGGUGGAGAUCAAAGCGAGAAAUUUCAAUUUUCCUCCAAUAUGGCAUCACCACAGAGGACGUUCUAGCUACCGCCAUGUCCUGAUCUGCCGCUUAAGUCAUCAGGGGGCAAGAUUAUUCUGGCUGACAAUCGUGGUCUUCUCCCUCUCAACAUCAUAUCUUGGUUAUUCGUUGCCAAGAGGAGCAAUGGCUUCCAACAACACCACAUUCUCUACCUCGAUUGAGAUCAAAGCGAAAGGAAUUCUGAUCUGCCGCUCAAGUCAUUAGGGGGGAGGACGAUUCUUACUGACGAUUGUGGUCUCCUCCCUCCCGAUGUCAUAUCUUGGUUAUUCAUCAAGGACAGUCAGUCCUCCAUCCUUCUGAAGAUAUCAGUUCAUUCUCCUUUCGAUUUGGUAACAUCACGGAGAAUGUUCUGAUCACUGGCUUGCUGCUUAAGUCGUCAGGGGGCAAGACGACUUACACAAACAAUCAUGGUCCUUUAUCUUCUAAUUCGAUAAAGGCACCACAAUAUAAUUAAUCCCAAAACCUUUGCACCCUACGAGUGCGCCCUAACUAUUAGUCAUGUGGGGAACAAACAGAAUAGGGAACACUCCUUUAUUUUGGAGCCAUAUAUACAUUCUUGCCCCGGGGGGAAUAGCUUUGCUUUUAUUACAAUAUAUUAUCUUUCUAGAUGGGAUAAAGUUGAUCCUUUGCCAAAAUAAAAAAAAUAAAAAAAAUUCAAAAGAAAAUAAAAAAAAAAGAAAAAAAAGAGAGCAAAAAAAAAGAAAGCAAAAAAAAAGGCAAAAAAAAAGCAAAAAAAAAGAAAAAAAAAGCAAAAAAAAAAGAGCAAAAAAAAGAGCAAAAAAAAAAGCAAAAAGAAAUUAAAAAAAAAGCAAAAAGAAAAAAAAAGAAAGAGAAGAGAAAAAAAUAUCUCCCAGAGCCCCGCUGUGAAAUAACCUACUUUAGGCUCACACACAAAAAUUAGGGAAAUGCUUUUGGCUAGGACCCUCUCGCGGGCGCCAACUGUCAUAAUAAAAUAAUAAAAAUUUCGCAGACGAUGGAAUGCUGAUUCAUCCCUACACGACAACAACGAUACAUCAGAUUGUUUCAAAAAGAAAAGAGCAAAAAAAAAAAAAGAAAAGAAAAAAAAAAGAAGUCAUCUUAGAGGGUUUUGCUUAACUGCAUGUGGAGAUGCCCUUUGCCCUCCUAUCCCAUUUUGAGGACACACAUAUAUGUAAUAUUGAAGAGUUUAGGAGAGUUUUAUCAACCGCAUGAGAUGAUCACCCCUUUCCCUCCCGUCCCCUUUUUUUGAAAUCCUACAGAUAUGCCAUUCUAAGGAGAUCUUAUAGGGACUUUCCUAACCACAUGUAAAGAUGCAUGUAUCCCGACAAUCUGACUUUGAAGAUCUACAGACGAAGGCUCAAAAUAAGUCAUCCUAUACAGAGCUUGAUUCAACUCAUUCUCUAUCAAAAACUUCUGGUUGAAGAAAUGCAGCUCUAAGGUGGCCUUUGAUCAAAGGGUAUACAAGCAUGUCAACUUACCAACGCGAUCCAUGUCCAGAAAAAAAGAACUUGUCGAGUGCAAUUUUAAUGCCCAAUCCAAUUUGGGUGCCAUGACGAAAAUGUCAGUGAAUCGUGCUCAUUUGAAUUGGCCCAUAACGAAGCGACAAAGUUAUGAUAUCAUGAAUAUGGCCUUACAUUCAUUGUGCCCGAUCAAUGAACCAAUACUAUGCUCACCAUGUUGAUCGAAUAUGCUAUUUAUAUAUGGCGAGCAAUGAGAUGGAGUUUGUUAUUAUGCUCAUCAAGAUUGUAGUUCGUCGGGGUGCAUUUUUCAUACAUGAGAAUAAGAAUGUCUCCUGAAAUUUUGAUCAUCCGAUGGAAAAAAUAUACACUCAUACUAUGUCAGAUGGAACGAUAUUGGUCUUAGAGUACCGGGACUCAACUCUAAAGCAUUCGAGGGAAGUUUCCACUUGCCAUCGACAGCAACAUCUUCUCAAGAGACAUUAAGAGACAUUAACAUAGCAGAACCAUCCCGGGAGUGCUAGGUUACAUCACUCUUUACAAAAGAAAAUGAUGAAUUCUUGAGACUGCACCUUUUCCCGCUCGCAUAGCACUCGCAGAAAAAAUGUGGGGUCACUUUGUUGGGAUCAAAAAAUUUUGAAAUUUGAAAUUCAAAUUGAGAAUAUAGAAGGAAGGGGAUAAAAUGAAUUGAGGUGAUUAAUAGUUGCCAUAGAUGACCAACUACUAAAAGGAAAAGAAAUAAAAAUAUAUUGUUACCUUAUUUUUAAAAAUAUUUGAAUUGUUGCCCAAAAUGAAGAGGUCCAAAAAAACCACUAUAAAUUGGACCAUGAGAUUCAAAAAUAAAUUCUCUGAGAGAGAGGGGGAAAAAAAAAAGAAACAAAAAGAAACAAAAAAAAGCAAAAAAAAAAGAGAAAAGAAGAACAAAAAAAAGAAAAAGAAAAAGAAAAAGAAAAUCUUUUGUUCAUCCCCCCCAUUCUCUUGCCGUGCAUCAGCAACAAAGGGAGGGGGUGUGCUCACAGCACACCCCCCAAUCCGUACACAAAAGAACAAAGAAAGAAAGUCGUCUCUUUCAUUUUGCGGCGGCGCGGCGACGACAACGACAACGACGACUUCGACAACGGCGGCUGUGACGACUUCGACGACGACAACGGUGUGCAAGGAGGCCUCAUGACCUCCUCUUUCUUCUUCUUCCCCGACGACGGCGGAUUGGUGUAUACGUGCAAAUGUAUAGUCACGAUUUAUUUGUUGGUUUGAUCAACACGACUGUCUUCGUUUUAGGUUGACCCGAUCAAAUCCGGCAUUGGAUCGUUACUAUAUCGUACGCACGUAUUCACUAAACGUCCAUCUCCUCAACAUCGACGAAAGAUUUACACGAGCGUGCGAAUGACGCGACGACGAACCUCCAACCGAUUUGAUUGUGCGGCCGUUUUCGUGAUAGGCUCGACACGCUCAAAUCUCAAAAAAAAUAAAUGAUAAUAAAAUAAAAUAAGAUAAUAAAAUAAAUAUUUGAAUUGCCGUCUUCGUGAUAGGCUAGAUCCAAUUUGACAUAAACCGGGUCGCUGUCUUCGUGAUAGGCUUGACCCGAGUCCGAUUAAUUGAGACGGGUCGCCGUCUUCGUGAUAGGCUUGACCCGAGUCCGGUUAAUUAAACCGGGUCGCCAUCUUCGUGAUAGGCUUGACCCGAGUUCGGUUAAUUAAACCGGGUCGCCGUCUUCGUGAUAGGCUUGACCCGAGUUCGGUUAAUUAAAUCGGGUCGCCGUCUUAGUGAUUGGCUUGACCCGAGUUCGGCUAAUUAAACCGGGUCGCCGUCUUCGUGAUAGGCUUGACCCGAGUUCGGCUCAAUUAGACCGGGUCGCCGUCUUCGUGAUAGGCUUGACCCGGACGAGCCAAGCCAUAAUGAUAAAUGAAAUCGGACGAUAAGCCGAUCCAAUCUAAUUGACGGGUCUAAUUAAAAUCGAGUCUCAUACCAUUCAAAAAUUGAAUCAUUAAAGAUAUUAACCAAACCAAACCAAAUUACAAGCCGGUUCAGCUUAAACUGAACCAUAAGGGAUUCGACUUGAAUUAAAGUGAAUCCGAUCUGAUCUGAACCGAACCGGAUCUGGUCUGAACCGAACCACAAAGGAUUCAACUUGAACCAAAGUGAAUCCGAUCUGAACCGAACCGAAUAGGAUUUGACUUGAACCGACUCGGACCGAAUCCGGUCCAAUCCAAUCAGAACCAUAAAGGAUACGACUCAAAUUGAAAUGAGUCCAAUCCGAACCGAACAGGAUUCGACUUGAAUCAAAGUGAACCCGAUCUGAACUAAACCGAACCGGAUCCGAACCAAACUAGAUCUGGUCCGAGCUGAACAAGAUUCAACUUAAACCAAAAUAAACCCCGAUUUGCACUAAACCGAACCAGAUCUGAACCAAACCAGAUUCGGUCCGAAUCGAACAAGAUUCAACUUGAAUCAAACCAAACUGAACUAAACCGGAGCCGAACCGAACCAGAUCUGGUCCGAACUGAACCAUAAAGAAUUCAACUUAAACCAAAGUGAAUUCGAUCUGAACUGAACCAAACCGGAUCCUAUCUGAACCGAACCACAAAGGGUCCGACUCGGACCAAAGUGGCUCCAAUCCGAACCAAACCAUGAAAGAUUCGGCUCGAAUUGAAGUAGGUCCGAUCCAAACCAAAUCAUGAAGGAUUCGACUCGAAUUGAAGUGAGUCCGAUCCGAACCAAAUCAUGAAGGAUCCAACCCGAACCGAAGUGGUCCGAUCUGAACCAAAUCAUGAAGGAUUCGACUCCAAUUGAAGUGGGUCUGAUCCGAACCAAACCAUGAAGGAUCCGACCUGAACCGAAGUGGUCCGAUCUGAACCAAACCAUGAAGGAUUCGAAUCGAAUUGAAGUGGGUUCGAUCCAAACCAAGCCAUGAAGGAUCCGACCCGAACCGAAGUGGUCCAAUCCGAACCAAACCAUGAAGAAUUCGACUCGAAUUGAAGUGGGUCCGAUCCAAACCAAGCCGUAGAGGAUCCGACUCGAACCGAAGUGGUUCCAAUCUGAACCUAACCGUAAAGAAUCCAACUCGAACCGAGGAGGGUCCGAUCUGAACUAAACCGAACCGGAUCCGAACCAAACCAGGUCCUGUCUGAACCGAACCGAACAGGAUUCAACUUAAACCAAAGAGAAUCCGAUCAUAACUGAAUAAACCGGAUUCGAACCAAACCAGAUCCUAUCUAAACUGAGCCGAAUGUGAUUCAACUUGAACUAAAGUGAAUCUGAUCCAAACUGAACCGAACAGGAUCCAAACCAAACUGGGUCCUAUCUAAACCGACCGAACAGGAUUCAACUUGAACUAAAGUUGAUCCGAUCCAUACUGAACCGAACCAGAUCCCGUCUGAACCAAGCAGUAGAGGAUCCAACUCGAACCAAAGUGGGUCCGAUCCGAACUCAACCGUAAAGAAUCCAACUCAAAUCAAGUCUUGAUGGUUCCCGAACCAAAGCAUAACGGUUCAACCCAAACCAAGUCUUGAUGGGUCUCGAAUCAAAGCAUAGCGGUUCAACCCAAACCAAAUCCAAAGCGACCAAAUGAACUUAAGGCCGCCCAACUCAAGCCAAGUCUUGAUGGGUCCCGAACCAAAGCAUAACGGUUCAACCCAAACCAAGUCUUGAUGGGUCUCGAACCAAAGCAUAACGGUUCAACCCAAACUAUAUCCAAAGCGACCAAAGAAACUUAAGGUAACCCAACUCAAACCAAGUAUUGAUGGGUCUCGAACCAAAACAUAACGGUUCAUCCUAAAUCAAAUACAAGAGGUUUAAGCCAACCCAAACCCAAAGUUCACAAAUAAAUCUCAAAACCAAAGUCCACAAAUAAAUUCCAAAACCAAAGUUCAUAAAUAAAUCCCAAAACCAAAGUCCACAAAUAAAUCCCAAAACCAAAAUCCACAAAUAAAUCCCAAAACCCAAAGUCACAAAUAAAUCACAAAACCCAAAGUCCACAAAUAAAAUUUCAAAAUCCAAAACCUCUCAAAUCUAAACGACCGAAACGUCGUUAAACUAAACCCAAAUUCAUACGACCGAAAAGUCGUUAAACUAAAUCCAAAUUCAAACGACCGAAACGUCGUUAAACUAAACCCAAAUUCAAACAACUGAAAUGUCGUUAAACUAAACCCAAAUUCAAACGACCGAAAAGUCGUUAAACUAAACCCAAAUUCAAACGACCGAAAAGUCGUUAAACUAAACCCAAAAUCAAACGACCGAAAAGUCGUUAAACUAAACCCAAUACAAACGAUCGUAUAGUCGUUAAACUAAACCCAAAAUCAAACGACUGUAAAGUCGUUAAACUAAACCCAAGUUCAUCAUGAACCUUUUUUACUCUUGCACAUAUGCCUAGAGUGAAAAUUAAAUAUCGACUACCCGUAAUACAUAUACUUAGGGCUAAGUCGAUCGCCUUAACACAUAUAACUAAGGCAAAACAUCUCCAAAUCGACAGAGUUCUAAGCCAUAUAUUUAGAAUUCAGUCAAAUGAUAUCAAGUUUAUUCGAACUCUAACACUUGUACUUAGAGUUUAUCCGACUAAUCCUAACACAUAUCCUUAGGGUCCAGCCAGCCUUUUGCUCUAGCACAUAUAGCUAGAGUGGAAGUCAAAUCAUGCUCGACUAGUCCUAACACAUAUCCUUAGGAUCUAGUUAGCCUUUUGCUCUAGCACAUAUACCUAGAGUGGAAGUCAAACCAUACUCGACUAGUCCUAACCUAUAUACUUAGGGUUUUGUCAGUCUUUUGCUCUAGCACAGAUACCUAGAGUGGAAGUCAAAUCAUGCUCGACUAGUCCUAACCUAUAUACUUAGGGUCUAGUCAGCCUUUUGCUCUAGCACAUAUACCUAGAGUGAAAGUCAAUCCGUGCUCGACUAGUCCUAACCCAUAUACUUAGCCUCCGUUUGGUUCGGGGUUAAAUAAAAAGUAGCUAUUCCAGGGAUAGAGUUAAGUUCAGGGUUAAAGUGGGGUUAAAGUUUUUUUGUGUUUGGUUGGGGUUGGAGUUAGUCUAGAAUAAUGAAAAAUAGUGUUUGGUUGGAGUAGGUGGGAUAAGAAGAUAAUGAUUGAUAAAAAAGGAUAAUGAUUGGUUGGAGUAGGUGUGAUAAGAAUGAUAGUGGGUUAUUAUGAAUAGAAAAUAGUAUUUGGUUAGAGUUUGGUAGGGUUAGGUGGGGUUAGCUAACCCGGGAUAAUUUAUUUGAGGUGGGGUUAGCUAACCCCACCUAUUUUUUGAGGUGUUUGGGGAUAAAAUGGGGGUUAAGGGGUUAUUCCACCCCUCAACCCCCAACCAAACAAUAGCUUAGGGUUUAAUCAGCCUUUUGCUCUAGCACAUAUACCUAGAGUGAAAUCCAUACCCGAUCGAGCUCUAAUACAUAUACUUGGAGCUUAUACGAAUCAAAUCCGACAAACCCUAAUGCAAUACCUUAGAGCUUAGUCAGAUCUUCACUCUAGCACAUAUAACUAGAGUGAAAACAUAUUAAACUCGGUUAAUCCUGAUCUAUACACUCAGGAAUUAGCCACUCUCUACUUUCGGGUAAUAUCAAAUCUGAUCUACCUCAAUAUAUAUACUUGGGGUUUGGUCACAUCUCCACCUUAGAAUAUACAACUAAGGUGAACCCGACCGCCAUGUCAUUAAACUGAGCACCAAACUUAAACCGACCGCCAUGUCUUAUAAAAUUCAUGUACAGUGGGGGUAUGCCCCUGCUUAAGCCAUGUACACGGCAAAUCAUAUUAAUAAAAUUUUAUUUUCCUGUUUUGUCUCCUUUAUUAUCAGCAUUUAUAAUUGAUCUCUUAAUCGAGGGUUCCUUAACACCGAAAGUGUGGGAUAAUUAAUAGCAGAUUCUUGAGUCUGUUGGACGUUAUGAACGUAUAAUCCUGAUUUCAAAAUAAAACUUAAGUAAACUCAACCUCUACCAUGAAUGACCACUCGCCUUAGAAACAACCUACGGCGGGGCCGGUUCGUUCGCGGUAGACACUUUUAUAACUGAAAUAGGAGUGGUUCUUCGGCAGUACACAAUAUUGUCAAAUAAAAGAUGGAAGGAGGUGCCAAAUCAUAUAAAGCAAAAGAUGUUUGAUGAUUUACAUGUAUGUAAAACUAUCACAAGUUAAUACUAGUUGUGUCUUAUUCAAGUUUUUAUUAUACAAAUUCUAACUUUUUAUAACAUCAAAAUGUGAAACAAGAAAAGUUUGAUGGCAUACAAGGAGAAAAAGCGAAUGUGUUAGACCACCUCAAGAAGAUGUACAGAGAAUGGCGAUAUUGUCUGCAUCGAUAUUAUUUACGUUUUAAUAGUGAGGAGGAAAGGCUAAGUAAAGUUCUAGAAAAUGUCACAGAUAAUGAUUGGAGAUAUUUGGUCAAAUACUUUGGUUCGGAGGAGUUUUUGGUAGAUCUCAAAAUUUUAAUAUAAUUAGUAAAUUUUUUGCAAGUAUGUUAUACUUUUGAUUAGUGUAUGCUUCUUUUGUAGUAUCUAUCAGCUCGUAAUAAAAACAAUCGGGCCAAGCAAGGAAUUUCUACCAUCAAGGGUAGAACAUCAUUUGUUAGGAUUAGAUAUAAUAUGGUAUGAUUUGUUGCGUUUAUUAGUGUCACGCCCCGGGGUCCCCUUUUUGUUUGAAACACAGAGGAAAAGCGUUUAAAAUUUUUUUUUUUGAAAACCUGACCCCAGAGUAUGCCAGAUCCGCCACAAAUACAGGGAAUCCACUGUUCACACGGACAGAGUCUCCCCUGUAUUUGCACGGCGUCGCACAAGUACAAGAGUAUAGCCAGGAAACAACCACAACCAAAUGAAUAUAAAGAUAACUAUACAUUCAUACAUUCACCAUUCACAUCACAGAUUUACAUUCAGUGUUUAAAUAGAAAUCCACGAAAAUUCUUUUGAAAACUGUUCCCUACACGGAAACCUUUAUUCUUUAAGAAACGCUACCACGAGGGGUAGAAAACCUUUUAUUUCAAGAAAACACAAUUCCUUUAUUACAUUCCAAAACCAACUGAAAACUCAGAUAUUCAAAUAAUAAAACAAAACUGAACCAUGUAAACCGACUAAGCUAUAUAUAUCC